GCGGGUAUAGUUCAGUGGUAGAACCUCGGCCUUCCAAGCUGAUGAUGCGGGUUCGAUUCCCGCUACCCGCUCCA
rnacentral:tRNA from 1 species